rnacentral:rRNA from 1 species
UACGUAGGGGGCAAGCGUUGUCCGGAAUCAUUGGGCGUAAAGCGCGUGUAGGCGGCUCGGUAAGUCCGCUCUGAAAGUCCAGGGCUCAACCCUGGGAUGCGGGUGGAUACUGCCGGGCUCGAGUCCGGAAGAGGCGAGUGGAAUUCCCGGUGUAGCGGUGAAAUGGCGCAGGAUAUCGGGAGGAACACCAAUGGCGAAGGCAGCUCGCUGGGACGUGACUGACGGCUGAGACGCGAAAGCGUGGGUAGCGAACAGG